rnacentral:tRNA from 1 species
GGGAAGAUGACUCAGUGGUAGAGUGCUUGCCUUGCAUGCAUGAGACCCUGGGUUCGAUUCCUCAGUACCA